CGGCGGACGGGUGAGUAAUGCCUAGGAAUCUGCCUGGUAGUGGGGGAUAACGUCCGGAAAACGGGCGCUAAUACCGCAUACGUCCUGAGGGAGAAAUGGGGGAUCUUCGGACCUCACGCUAUCAGAUGAGCCUAGGUCGGAUUAGCUAGUUGGUGGGGUAAAGGCCUACCAAGGCGACGAUCCGUAACUGGUCUGAGAGGAUGAUCAGUCACACUGGAACUGAGACACGGUCCAG
rnacentral:rRNA from 1 species